CCUACGGGUGGCAGCAGUAGGGAAUAUUCCACAAUGAGCGAAAGCCUGACGCAGCGACACCGCGUGAGCGAUGAAGGUCUUCGGAUCGUAAAGCUCUGUCAGAAGGGAAGAACAGUCGCUAUACGAAUCGAUUGUGAAUUGACGGUACCUUCAAAGGAAGCGCCGGCUAACUCGGUGCCAGCAGCCGCGGUAAUACAUAGGUUGCAAGCGUUAACCGGAAUUUUGGGGCGUAAAGCGUUCGUAGGCUGUUUGUUAAGUCGGGGGUUAAAUCCCGGGGCCCAACCCCGGCUCGCUUUGGAUACUGGCAAACUAGAGUGAGAGAGAGGUAAGCGGAAUUCCAGGUGUAGCAGUGAAAUGCGUAGAUAUAUGGAAGAACACCAGAGGCGAAGGCGGCUAGCUGGGUCUAAACUGACGCUGAGGGGCGAAAGCGUGGGGAGCAAACAGGAUUAGAUACCCCGUUAGUC
rnacentral:rRNA from 1 species